GACGAACGCUGGCGGCGUGCCUAAUACAUGCAAGUUGAGCGCUGAAGGUUGGUACUUGUACCAACUGGAUGAGCAGCGAACGGGUGAGUAACGCGUGGGGAAUCUGCCUUUGAGCGGGGGACAACAUUUGGAAACGAAUGCUAAUACCGCAUAAAAACUUUAAACACAAGUUUUAAGUUUGAAAGAUGCAAUUGCAUCACUCAAAGAUGAUCCCGCGUUGUAUUAGCUAGUUGGUGAGGUAAAGGCUCACCAAGGCGAUGAUACAUAGCCGACCUGAGAGGGUGGUCGGCCACAUUGGGACUGAGACACGGCCCAAACGCCUACGGGAGGCAGCAGUAGGGAAUCUUCGGCAAUGGACGAAAGUCUGACCGAGCAACGCCGCGGGAGGGAAGAAGGUUUUCGGAUCGUAAAACUCGGUUGGUGGAGAAGAACGUUGGUGAGAGUGGAAAGCUCAUCAAGUGACGGUAACUACUCAGAAAGGGACGGCUAACUACGUG
rnacentral:rRNA from 1 species